rnacentral:lncRNA from 1 species
CACAGAAGUAAGAGAAAGAUUUCGGGUUGGUUGGGAUUGAGAAAGUAGAGCAGGCCUGCCUUCUGCGACUUGAGGUUGCUUCUUAGGGCAGCCUGCAAGGCUCCCUCCAGGUGUGGAAGGAAGAAGAAAAUCUCUUGACCAAGUGGGAGAAACGGAAAGAAAAACCUAAAAGGAGAGAAGGAUACAGAAUCUGCAUUUAUGGUCUGUUGGUCCANGAUCAUCCUGUUUACCUGCAGGAGGAAGAGGAAAGGAAAUGGCGGUUGCAGAGAUGGUUCAAGUCCCAGAAGCUUUUGUGGAAGUGACUGUCUAUUCGAAUGACCGGCAUUGUUCUGUGGUGGGCCGGCGUCAGAGAGCUUUCCACAAGGCCAUCAGACAGG